rnacentral:rRNA from 1 species
CCUACGGGAGGCAGCAGUAGGGAAUAUUGCUCAAUGGGGGAAACGCUGAAGCAGCAAAGCCGCGUGGAGGAUGAAGGUUUUCGGAUUGUUAACUCCUUUUGUUCGAGAAGCUAAUGACUGUAUCUAAGGACUAAGCACCGGCUAACUCCGUGCCAGCAGCCGCGGUAAUACGGAGGGUACAAGCGUUACUCGGAAUCACGGGGCGUAAAGAGAGCGUAGGCGGGAUAGCAAGUCAGAUGUGAAAUCCUAGGGCUUAACCAUAGAACUGCAUUUGAAACUGUGAUUAUAGAGUAUGGGAGAGGUAGGUGGAAUGCUUGGUGUAGGGGUAAAAUCCGUAGAGAUCAAGAGGAAUACUCAUUGCGAAGGCGACCUGCUAGAACAUAACUGACGCUGAUGCGCGAAAGCGUGGGGAGCAAACAGGAUUAGAUACCCCAGUAGUC